GGCCGCAUCUCGAACCUUAAAAUUUGCAGCUUUCAGCUCCCUAACUUGUUGGGUAGUUACUUCUAAGUCCCGUCGCUGGCACUCCACAUCCUAAAAUUUAGCAUUUAGAUCCCGAAGCUGGUCCUCUAAAUCUUGAGACUGAAUCUUCAGUUUGUUUGCGGCUUUAUCAAGCUCAAAAAACUGCACUGAAAAGGAAUCAUCUUCACACUUCCGUACAGCAACCUCCGAACGUAGUGAAAUAAGAUUAAAACUUGAUUUGAGAAGAUCCAACCUAACACGAAAAGGAGACAUGUCAACACCCACAGCUUCAAGGUCGUUUACAUCAUCACUAAACUUCUUCAAGUCCUCGGCUCGCAAGGAAUAUAAAGACAGAGUGUGCAACCCAAGAACAAGGCUUGCAAGCUGGUCUAGGAAGAAGGUUUGGGUGGAAGCUGUCUUAAUAAUCAAUCGGUCAAGUAUCUGCAAAAAACUGAGCUAGGAGACGCUCCAGAUUUUCCUGACUAGGAGAUGAUAUCUGAAAACCCCUCCACGGAAUAAGAUCCCCACUUAGAUUGAAAGAAGCUCUGGCAGAAGCCACUUUAGACACCACCAUAGAAUUUGACAAGACAAGAGAUGGAGGAUCAGAAAGAUGUUGUAUGGCUGAUGAUUCCUCGAAGCCUUGGCCACCUGGAGGAUAACCAAGGUCAC
rnacentral:lncRNA from 1 species